AAAAAAAUGAAAGACUAAUAUCCAUAACUGGAAGAACAAUUCUACUCAAAUGACCAUAAAUUACUACAGUAACAUACUGAAUUGUAUACAUAUGCAAUAUCGACAAAAUCGAGUUUCAAGAAUUCAUUUAAAUUAUUCCAUAAGAUCUAAACAUUGCAAAUUGAUUACUGAGUUGAAAUAAACUCGCAUAUCAAUGCGUAAACAACUAAACAUACAGGAUUAGAAACUGAAACUUGUAUAAUCUAUAUCAAUGUGUAAACA
rnacentral:lncRNA from 1 species